UAUAGAGUCUAGAGUCCUUUAUUAAGUGAAACUUGUUAUCCUAUCUAUAAUUCUAGAAUUUAACUAGAAUACUGGUAGUACUUUUAAAUUAUAACUUAGUCUAAACACCAUGUGCAGUGCUUUGGAGAGGUGUUAAGGCAGUAUCAGAUGGUUCCUUCUGUGCUUUUAGUACUGUAAUUUUUGUAAUGAAUAAAUGAGAGGGAGCAAAAAGUUGGUGAUUUAUUGAAAACAACUUAUGGAGGGGAACUUUCAACAGUCUUCAGUACUGUAAGAAAAAGGGACAUGGAACAGAGUGAAGUAUGCACUUCUUGGAAUGUGUAAAUAACAAGGAGAACCACAAUAAAAAAAGUAAAGAACAGUAAUUAAGGAAAACUAUAAACUACCUAGAAAGUGUUUUCCUGGGUAUGAAGAUCUUUGUUUCCUUGAUACUUACUGUCUAAGACAGUCUCUAUAAACUUUGAUCUCAAGAAUGUUUUUAGUUUGGUUCCUAGAUGUUACUUUUAGUACAGUAUAUAUAAAAAUAGAGCACAUUCAACCACAGCAUUUUUACUAACAUUGAAAUAGUUUAAUAUAACUGUAAAUAGAAUGCAUGAUGAUCAGCAGCCUUAAGCAAUCUGCAUGUUAACCAGUUGUGCCUGUGAUGACUUUUCUCGAAUCUGAUGGUACCAGUAGUAAUCAUCAAUAAAACUGAUGUGGGCUUGUACAUCUCUGGAUGUUUUCCUCUCUAAUGUCAGUUGUGUUCAUCCAUGAUCAGCUUAGAAAAAUCCUUUGGGUGUGAACAGUAUUCACAUUUAUAUUUGACUAAUUUGAAUUAAAAUAGACUUAAGCUGAUAUGUAUACUUAAAACCCAUAUUAAAAUAUUAUUUUGAAAGUCUUUGGGUCUAAAAAUGAGGGUAUAAGUUAAAGAUUAAAUAAUGGGUAAGAUUAUGACGUAAGUGGACCCUGCAGUAAUUCUGACACUGUUUUCACUGUCUGAGACAAGCCUACCUUCUGUCUAGCGUGAAUGAUAAGUGAAUUAUUUUUGCUAAAAAUAUUUGUAAGUAGUACAUGUGAGGGCAAAGAUAAAAUUAAAAUACCCACUGUAGAAACUCAGUAAUUAACAGAUAUCUGACUAUCAGCUAAACAGAUUUUAUCUUAAACCAGUGCUGUACUAAGUAGACUAGAUUCUGUGUAUAACUUCUAAAAUUGCUGCCCUAAAAUGCAUAAAAUGUGAAUAAAUAUUUAAUGUACUACCAACUCUAAUAUAAACAAAUAUCCCUCAAAAUAAUAAAACUAAAUUGGAAAGACUUGUAAGGUUUGUGUCAUUCAUUCAUUUGUUCUGCAUACAAUACAUGAAUAUUCAGUAUAAUGCUAAUAUACAUGUCAUUGAGUAUAUAUAUAUAUAUUGAGAUAUCGUUGAAAUAGUUAGGUUGUAAGAAAGUUGAGUUCACAUCAUUAUUAAAUUAGGCUAAACCACUUCUUUUAGGGGGUGGGAAAAUUUUGCUUUCACUUUUUUCCCCCUUUCAUUAUUUUGAUGUAAAAAUGUAUAUUAAGCUUGACUUCAUAAUACUUUUAUGAACAGAUAGUGAAUGUACAAAGUUAAAAUAUGUAUUUGCUCUCAUUAGUUUUCCCUAAAAUUGUAUGCAUCUAACAAUCAGAAUUUUUAAUGAUGUAACUUUGAAAAAUUCUUAACACUUUGUUAUAGAAUAGUAAUUAUUUCUCCAAAGUAUGCUUAUUUUACUCAGAGUAGUACACUAAGUAUAAAAGAACUUUGGUGAAGUUGACAAAAUAUCUUGAUAUAAAAUAGAGCUUAAUCAAAUUUUGUUUGUUUUAAAGAAAAGCAUCUCUUUAAAGAGAGAAAUAACAUUGACUGAGCAGUGCCACUGACCUGUUCAUUCCUAGCAGCGUUUUAGAAUCUUCACAUGAUCAUUUGCAUUUGUAUGCUUAGUACUUCUUGGCAUUUAUUUCAGAUCAGACUCCAACGCCAACAAGAUUCCUAAAAAACUGUGAAGAAGUGGGUUUGUUCAAUGAGUUGGCAAGUCCAUUUGAAAAUGAAUUCAAGAAGGCUUCCGAAGAUGACAUUAAAAAAGUAUGUUGUUAACCAUGAAAUUAUAAAAAGAAUACUUCUAUUAGGAAUACAAUGAUGCUUUUCACUUCCUGGUUUCUUAAACAUUUUGCUUGGCUGUUUUUUAUAAACUUUUUACAAAGUUUUUUUUUUUUUAUCAUUUGUAUUAGAUGCCUCUAGAUUUGUCCCCUCUUGCAACACCCAUCAUAAGAAGCAAAAUUGAGGAGCCUUCUGUUGUAGAAACAACUCACCAGGACAGCCCUUUACCUCACCCCGAGUCGACUACCAGUGAUGAAAAGGUUAGAACUAUGAAAAAGAUACUUCAGGAAAUUUAAUUUUUUUAAUUUAAUGCCUUAUUGUUUAAUUUGUGGGUAUGCAUGGCAUGUGAUGGUCAGAGGACAACUUGUAGGUGCCAGUUUUCUUCUCACGCUAUAUAGGCCUGAGGUAUCGAGCUCAGAUUUUCAGGCUUGGUGUAAGCACCUUAUCUGCUGUGCUGUUUCACUGUCCCAAACUUGGUUAGUUUUAAUCUGAAGGAAACAUUAAGGUAUGACAUUUUACAUAAUCCAAUAGAAGAUUAUAGGUUUUAUAUACAAAAACCCGUGUAAAUACUUUAGGAAAAUUCCAUCUUCAUAAUUAUUUUUAUUAAACUGGAUAUUAAAAGAGAGAACAACUUAUUUAGAAAAGGUGUUAUUUGAAGAUAUGGAAAUGUAUACAGCUGAAACAGGAUGUCUAAGAAUGAGUAAUUAUUACUCCAGUAUAUAUUUGAUAUCAACGGUGAAUGAUAUUUCCUUAAGUACAUUAACUUAGGUUUUCUGGGCUAUUGUUAAGUGUUAAGUUACAUCAUGAUGUGUACUUCAUCACAUAUUCACUUGAAAAACACAUAAAAUGAGCAAAUUUAUAUAGGAGCACUAUGUCUAUACAUAAAGAGACAGUGAUAGUGUUCCUUUUUAAUGUUAUUAUAAAAUCAUAAGAUGAAUAGAUUUCUACAAUGAGAAUAUAGUCAUUUAUUGUUGACAGGAAUAUAUCUUUUUUUUAAAAAAAAGUCUCAGUAAGCAAUCUCAUCAUUCUUUCCAAAGCAGAGUGUAUCUACACAAAUGUAGACAAUGUAGCCUACUAUAUACUUAGUAUGUUACAAGCUAUUAUUCCUAGAUUAAACCUGUACUACUUGAUACUACUAUAUUGACCAUGUAGGUAAUUAUAGCACACAGGUAUUUAAACAUAGAAAAGGCACAAUUAAAAAUGCAGGCUGGGAGGAUGGUUCAUUGAGUAAAACUUGCUUCAUAAGCCUGACAACUUGAGUUUUGAUUCCCCAAAACCCACAUAAGAACCAGAUGCCGUAGCACUAGUGCCUGUAAUCCCUUCAUGCUCUUAAGGGGAGAUGAAAGGAGGAGGAGGAGGAAAAUCUCCAGAAAUCCUAGGUCUGGUACCUAGUUUACACAGUGGCAAGAAAACUUUGUGUC
rnacentral:lncRNA from 1 species